AUAUAUAGAGGCAAAAUUUGACCUCGUGCUCUCUUCCUUUCCAACUAAGAACGCUGAGGAGAAAUAGCCACUUUGAUUGCGAUUUUGAUCCAUUUGAAGGCUGAUUCAGAAGAUGUUGUAGUUGAAGAAAAUAUAGAUCAAGGUAAGAUCUAUCCAUUUAUGUGUUUUUCGUUUGCAUGCACGCUGAUUUGCUUGAUUAGCUCCUAAUUAUGUCUGGUGGUUUAGGCAUUAGUUGAUCAUUUUGGUGAGUCAUUUGGAGCAUUUGGAGGAUUUGUCGCGAGAAGUGAACUACGAAGUUGAACCUCAAGGUAUGAGCUAUGUAAUACAUGACUUUUUUGUGACAUGCACCGUGCAAAUUAGUUUGUUUUUGAGCUUGUAAUUAGCUAAGUGAUGUUGUAUUACUGAAUUUCUGAAACGUGACCGGACGAGAUAU
rnacentral:lncRNA from 1 species